AGAGCGAACGCUGGCGGCAGGCUUAACACAUGCAAGUCGAGCGGGCGUAGCAAUACGGAGCGGCAGACGGGAGAGUAACACGUGGGAACGUACCUUUCAGUUCGGAACAACCCAGGGAAACUUGGGCUAAUACCGGAUACGCCCUUACGGGGAAAGAUUUAUCGCUGAAAGAUCGGCCCGCGUCUGAUUAGCUAGUUGGUGGGGUAACGGCCCACCAAGGCUACGAUCAGUAGCUGGUCUGAGAGGAUGAUCAGCCUCACUGGGACUGAGACACGGCCCAGACUCCUACGGGAGGCAGCAGUGGGGAAUAUUGGACAAUGGGCGCAAGCCUGAUCCAGCCAUGCCGCGUGGAUGAUGAAGGCCCUAGGGUUGUAAAGUCCUUUCGGCGGGGAAGAUAAUGACGGUACCCGCAGAAGAAGCCCCGGCUAACUUCGCGCCAGCAGCCGC
rnacentral:rRNA from 1 species